CCUGAAUUCCUCCUCAAAGUUUACGCAAGGUGCACCUACGUGAGAGUGGCCUGGCCUCAGGUGGCGGGUUGGACACGGAUGCCGUGAAUUGCAGCUUGAGCUUCAUGUGCUGACUCAGCUGAGGAGGCAAAAAGGAGGGCCAGGUGGUACCUCAUAGAGUCCCGGUCGGAGGAUCUGGAAGGCUACGCUGAAGGUCAGCGUGCUGCCCUUGCGACAGUGGCCCAGGUUGCUGAGGGGGGUGUGGCACACCACCGCAGAAAGCGUGGUGUCCUCGCUCUGACCGCGCCCUGAAAAUACAAACUGCGCCGUCAAGGACUACAUGGUCCAAUUUCCAAUCAUCCAUUUGGUUAAGAACAGGACCACAGCACAAACCCACCCUCGGGGGUCCAGACCAGGCGCACGGACAGGAAGUCCUGCAGGUUGUUGAGCAGCACAUAUUUGACCUUGAAGUGCUCCUUUACCUCGACGGUGCUGGGACAGCUUGCCGUCAUCACGAAGCGCGGCCGGUCCAGGCGGACGCUUGGCAACCUGGUGGAUGCGCAGCGCUGGCAAUGGGUGUAGAUGCAGUUGGUGAAGGGCAUCUUGGCAGUUGACCACUGCAGCACAGCAACCAGAGGGACCUCCAUCCCCUGAGAAGAAGGACGCAAACAUUAGGGGGAGCACAUUUUUUAUCUAGAACGCCUUCCAAACGCACCUCAUUGGACUCGUCCAGCGGCAU